rnacentral:lncRNA from 10 species
UGAGUAGCUGGGAUUACAGGCAACCACCACCACGUCCAGCUAAUUUUUUGUAUUUUUAGUAGAGACGGGGUUUCACCAUGUUGGCCAGGCUGGUGUCAAACUCCUGACCUUGGGCAAUCCACCCACCUCAGCCUCCCAAAGUGCUGGGAUUAAAGGCGUGAGCCACUGCACCUGGCCUAAAAAAUUUUUUAAAUAAGUAAUGGCUGUCUGGACAGGAUUUGUGAGGAUCAUCAUCUUAAAUAACGUUUUAAAAGUGUGUGUGUGUGUGUGUGUGUGUGUGUGUGUGUGUGUGUGUGUGUGUAUGGAGGCUGGGGUGGGGGAUGGGACAGUGGAGGGAACCAGCCAGGCAUUAUUUCCGAUUUCAAGAGAUGCAGAAAGAAGCCUCAGAGCUUCCCUUAUCUGAUUAAAAGCAGCAACUGCUGAGAAAUGAGGCUGCCAUAAAUUCUCUUUUGGCAGGUCUACUCCCAGAAAGAAAAGCAAGAAUACACCUGUUAUAAAUCCCCUCUCUGGUAUAGUUUCAUGGCCAUGAAGAAGAGGGAAAGAACACUGCACUUGCAGAAACAUAUAUCAUUAUGAAAUUUUGUAUCUUCUUUUUGUUCCCCUAAAAAUCCACUUAUUCUUCUUCCCUUAAGAAAUCUAUUUGCGGCCAGGUCUGGUGGCUCACACCUAUAAUCCCAGCAAUUUGGGAGGCCGAGGUGGGCAGGUCAUUUGAGGUCAGGAGUUCAAGGCCAGCCUGGCCAACAUGAUGAAACCCCUUCUCUACUAAAAAAUACAAAAAUUAGCCGGGCGUGGUGGCACGUGCCUGUAAUCCCAGGUACUUUGGAGGCUGAGGCAGGAGAAUCACUUGAACCCAGGAGGUGAAGGUUGCAGUGGGCCGAGAUCACACCACUGCAACUCCAGCCUGGGCGACAAAGCAAGACUCCAUCUCAAAAAAAAAAAGAAAGAAAGAAACCUAUUUGCUCCUGUCUUAGAAUAAAUUUCUUCCCCCUCCCUUUCCUCCACUCGUUAGGUAUGCUGUAUAAGCCUCAAACUUUAUACAAUUAGAGAGCUGAAUUCUUACAUUAACUUGUCUUUUGUCAUUUUAAUCUACAGCCCCCCCCCCACAAUGAACCUAAAAGGAUAGAGAAAAAUAUUUUCUUUCCUGAUAAAUCUGGUGUAAGAAUUGUUGAAUGAAGAAAUACAAAGAUUGAGUGAGGCAUGGGGAGGUUCUGAGAUAAUGAUUUAGUUAAUGAUGCUUCUAAGAUAUGAAUAAUUGAAACAGUGGUGGUAGCUUUGACACUCCAUUGCAAGUCUAGCCAAGCCAAUUAAAAAACAAGAGUCUUAAAUUUUUCUUCCACUAAAUUUAAACAAAUCACAGCUCUACUUAAUGCUUUUAAUGUUAUUUUUUAUUAAGACAACAUAAUUUAUUAAAUACUAGUGGCAAGGGAGGGAAUUUUCAGUAGUAGGUCACAUACUAUAAGAACCCUUUGAAUAUGAUAGAACCAUUCAGCAACUCAGGAAAAUAGAUACUAUUAUGACUUUUUCACACAUUAGUCACUACUAUUCAGAGCAAGAAGUAACCUUCCCAAACCUGUCAACUAGCAGGAAAUGAAGCUCCAAAGCCCAUCCAUCCUUCUCACACAGAUAGAAAAGUUCCCUUGAGAGCAGUAAGCCGGGAAAGCUUUCCACACUCAUGAAGUCCUCUAUAAAUUCACUGUAAUACUGAUGGUUUUUCAAUCAGAAAAAACCAAACAUCUAGAUUUGUUAAUGCUUCACUUUGCUUCAUCAUUUGGGUAGGUUUUACAUCUCUUCCGUUCAACACACUGGAAAGGACAAUCAAAAUCUGCCAUGCCCUUCACCCCGAGAAAGUCUCCACCCAGACCCUGGAGCCUGAAAGUUCUUGGGAUUUUCUUGUCUCAUCAUUCACAUGGCUGUGACAAUAUUCUACACUCCUGUGAUGCCCUGUAGCCCUACCCAGACUCCAGCGUUUUUACUUCCAUUACUCCCACCCCGGAGCCCCCACAGUGAGUGCUCUAAGACCCAUUUAUAAAUGCCUCUUUCUUCCAGGGUCCAUCUGAACCUCAGGGUCCUCUAGGAUACCCAGGACCUCGAGGGUUAAGGUAACCGACCUCCUGGCUGGGGAUAAAGGAAUGUGUUCAGGGGAGCAAGAUGGGGUCUCAAGAGUUUGGUCUUUUUAACCCACCUCUAUCCCCUCACCACUCUACCUCUGUUCACCUCUAAGUCCAGGGUAGAGAUGGAAUUCGGAGUCUGAAGGGCCAUGAGGGUGCAAAGGUGAGCACCGUGCCCCCAGCUUCCCAGCACCUCACUCCUGCCUGCCCCAUGCUACCCUCUAGCUCCUGAGCCCACCCUUCCAGCCAUGUUCUCAGAAUCCUACAUUAGAACCCCCAGCCCUCUCUCAUCUGUGGGGUCCUCUCACCUCCGUCUUUCUCAAGGGAGAACGACUGUCUUGGAUUCAAAGGUGACAUGUGUGAAGGAUAUCAGGUUGAGUGAAGACCUCACGCUGGCCCCUACUCCGUGUCCUAAUGAUGCACUCUGGAGCCCCCAAGCACCAGUUCAUUCCCUGGAGGCCCUGGGCUCCCCAGUGCUGUGCAUCCUUGGGGGCCUGAUCCCUGCAGGACUGUAACCCCAUGGUCUGCAACACGCUGGCCAUGGAUGACGACACUAUUCAUACCCUUCAGCGUUCCCUGUCCCGCAAUAGCUCCUGGGAUCUACCAGCCCCACUCAGCCUCUCUGGUGACUGCUUCUCCUCUGGGCUCAGACCUCAUCCCCAGACCCCAACGCUCACCUCUCCCACCCUCUCCCUCCCUGACUGUGCUUCCUCCACAGGGAACAUCGGGUGGUGAUGGCCUCCAUGAUCCCCCAGAGAAAGGGUGUGACUUGAGUGCCUUCUUCCUCUGUGCUCCCCAGGGAGCAGCAGCAUCAGAGUGCUCCCAGGGUGCCAAAGGGACACACUGGACCAACUGGAGACCCUGGGCCCCCUGGAUUCACAGCUGACAAUGGAUUGAGGUGGGUAUAGAAGAAGUCAAGGAAAAGCCCCUGUCAUGAAGAGUUGGAUGGAGACAGGCACAGAGUGGCCGCAGGUCCAAGCAGAGUGAACAUGCGUCCAAACUGGCAGUGGCAGCCCCUAGAAGGGAGACACCAACAGCACCGAGAUCUGUGGUCUCCAGAGCUGACAUCUCCUGCACUUGCCACGUGCAGGCGCUGUGCGGGACCUCCUCUCCAUCCUGUGAGGUGGGUGUGGACAGUCCUAUUUUGCAGGUGAGGCUUUGCAGAGGCACAAGCAGGCCAAGUCAUCACAGGGUCAUCAAAUGGCAGGGCAGGAACUGAGCCACAGUGGUUGAGCUGCAGAAUCACUGCUCCCAACCCCCUGCUCCACAGCUGCCUGGGCUGGAUGAGCCCUGGAGCAGCAGGAGGCAUACAGGGGAGCUGGGUGCUGCACCGCAUGGGCAAAGGGCCGGAGACGUGUGGGGAAACUAGUCCUGGUGAAGCAAGAGUGGGUGCUGGGGCAGAUGGAGCUGAGGGUGGCAGAUGGGCAGCAACUGGAUCACAGCAACCUUGAAGGACUUGACGGAGCUGCAGGCACAGGGAUGUCAGAUCCCAGCACUAGAGUUGGAGAAAAUUCACUCUUAGGAAGAAGGAGACUGGGUGUGCUGGCUCCUUCCUCACCCCAGGGAGGAAGCUGAGUUCCCCUGCCCAGCACCUGCCCCAUUCUCCUGACUCUGUCUACCUCUGUCUCUAGGGUCUCCCUGAACUCAGGGUCCCAAUGGAUUUCCUGGCCCCAAAGAGCCCCUGGGCACCCUGGGAAUGACAAGCUGCCGGGACACUCAGGCCAGAGAGGAAAGGUGGUGAGGGAGACCCCUGGCCACCAAUUCUCAGGAGGCCCCUCAAAUGCCAAAGCUGUCUGGGAGGCCCACAGAGACAUUUUCUGAGCAGAACAGAGCCUGCCCUAAUGCUGUCCACACCCACGGGCCGAGGCUUGAUGUGACCUUGUUCCUCUUCUGGAGCCCAGGCAUCUACCCUACAGCACCCACUGCACUCCCCCCUUUUCCUCUCAGGGUUUCCAAGGGGAGAGCAGCCCCCGUGGCCCCCCAUAUGUGGUGGGACCUCAGCUAGGUCUGUUCCCAGGAGAGAACGGCUCCCAGACCCUGGAGUUAAGUCUGUCUGGCUCUCUUCUCUCAGUCACACACCCCUGCCUCUGGCUCGCAUGUCUGGAACAGGUAGCUGGGGACUUGAGGGGGCUCAGAAAUCUCUCUUUUUAAUUUGGCAGCACGGAUGGCUGUCGCUCCUCACCUCUCCUUUUCUUUUAGGGUGUCCAUGGGGUUCAAGGGAAGGAUGUUCCUGGUCUGAGGGGCUUCCCAGGAGAGAGAGGCCUCCUAGGCACUGCUGGUUCCCCCCUAGGGAGUGAGGUGCAGCAGGAUCAAGGGACCCAUUGCCCCCCGCCAGGGUGCCCAGGCCCUCAGGAACCCCCUGGAUCAGCAGGAGAGACAGGUGUCCCAGGUGAAAAGGGCCCCAUUUGUCUGCCUGGCUGUGAUAGGGUGCAGAGUCCUGUGUGACUUCCUGGUCCUGCUGGGCCUCCAGGUGUGGCUGGAGAAGAUGGAGACCAAGAGGAGAACCCCAGAGAACCCGACCAAUCUUCUCUCCACAUGAGAGGGCUGAGGGCCCUCCUGGACCCCCUGGACUCACUGGUCCAUGGAACAGCCUGUAGCAGUGGGAGCAGAUUGGGAGCCCAGAGCUCAGGGACCCCAGGGACACUUUGGAGCCAGAGUGUGGGGAGCCAAAGGCAAUAAAGGUAGAACAGGAUUCAUGAAUCUAUAGGGACUACCUGGACCCAGUGGCACUGGUGUGAGUCAUCCCAGCCCCUGCCACUUCAGAGCAAUGAGGUCCACAAGAUCCCCUGGGAGGUGUUGGGGCCCUGGGUCCCCCUGGAGAGAAGGUAAUUGGGAAAGGGAUGAAGGGGACCAGUCUUGUGGAUGAGGAAUGACAGUUGGAUUUCUGCCAAUUUUUUGUUGAGGAGACAAAAGAGAAUAAAAUGUGAGAAAUACCAGGAUUUUGUGAGGGGGCAAUGAGGUUUUUGACCCCAAUCUCUUUGCUCCUGGAGCCAGGAGAGUCAGGAUCUCCAGGAAUCCAGGGUGAGCCGGGUGUCAGGGUCUUGGUUUUCCUGGAGACCCUGGCCCCCCAGGAGAAGGUGGCUCAUGACCAGGACAGUGUUAACGGUGACUAUGGCAAGGAUGGUGAGCCAGUACAGCCCGUGAGUGACCAAUGUCCCUGCCACCCCCACUGAGCUCCAGCCUUCAGCCCCUUACCCCUCUUUUCUGUGCCCUACUCCUGAGGGGUCCCUUAGCUGGAGGCCAACACUCACCCACCCCAAUUCCUCUCAUUCUGUGGAUCCUCUGGUCCCACUGGGGAGAAUGGACUACCUGGACCACAUGGAAAGCAGGUAAGUGAGGUAGAAGACCCUGGGACCUUGGGAGGUAGUCGCUGGGAAAUGUGGGUAGAGGCUGGGUGGUGACAGGUGGCACUGACAGGGAGAUGCCUGGUGUCUGUGCUGUCCCUGGAUGUGGUGUGUUGCAUGAGCACAUGGGUUUAUGAGUGUGUUGUGUCUCGGGCAUGUUGCUCCUGGGUUUUUGUGAGCAUGUUCUCACCAGGGCUGGUUACAUGUACUGGCCAAUCAGAAUGGACACUGGAGGAGGGGCUGGCCGGCUUCUCUGCUGGGUCAGGGAUUAACCUGGGCCACUGGGUGGGGCGUGGUUAAGGGGUUCUUCCCCAAGCAUCCAUGCUCCUCAGCAUUUUCACAACGGACACAGCUCCAUCUGUUCUGAACUCACACUCUGCUUCUGUGCCUGUGUGUGCAGUGUGUGCAUGCAGUGUGUGCAUGCAGGGUGUGCAUGUGUGUGUGUGUGGAGUAUGUGUGCAUGUGUAGCACAGGAAGGGGAAGAGUGGAGCCUGGCUGUUCAGGACCUCAAGUUUUCUCCCUUCCUGUCCCAUCUGCAGGGUCAGCUAAGAAUAGCCAUGACUCAAGGGUCAGCUAAGAAUAGUCAUGACUCAAGGGUCAUUUAGGACACAGGAAGAUACCAGAUGAGGAAACUCUCCCCAAGUCCUAAACUCAUUCACAAAUUAGAACACAUAGGUCCAGCCCAGGCACAGUGGCUGAAGCCUGGAAUCCUCCCGCUUCCUGCUUCGGGAGACCAAGGCAAGAGGAUCUCUCGAAGUGUGAGUUGGAGGCCAGCUUGGGCGACACAAUCAGGAAAAGCAAGUGGCCACCAGGUGGCGCCCAAGAACUGGGCCCGAGUUCCCUGGGAGGAAUCUGCACGCAGCCCUGGGAUGGCACAGGGAUGCCUCACGGGACACCUGGCCUCGUCCUGGUAGCCCCUUGCUUGCAUUUCCCGGCCCUGGGGUGUCCUCCCCGACUGCACAUGCAUGUAGAGACCAUUCCUCCUUCUCCAAAGAGGGAUUUGGAACAAUUCUCACAUGACCUGACGAGGGACAGUGGCUGUGCUCAGGGUCCCUCUUUUGUCCUCAGAGCAUGACCAGGCCUGUGGCUCUUGCUCAUUGCCCAAGAGCAUGGGAGGUUGCCCGUGGCAAGGCCCUGGAGGACCCUGCUGUGCUGCCUGGGACCAGGAGGCCCGGCUGCCUUCUCCCAGCACCUCUCCCAGUUAGGGUACUGUGCAGGAAAUGGGUGCAGAGGCCAUAGUGGUGGCUGCUCCUGGGGUCCCAGCAGCUCUAGCUGAGGCAGGAGGAACCAGGGAGCCCAGGAGGCUGAGGCCCCUGUCCUACUGCUCUGGUCGUGCUGCAGUCUCUGUCACCACCAACAACUGCAGUGAGGUGAGCCACUGGGCUGCAGGCUCUAGCCUCCAGCCUGUGACAGAUGCCUCCUCUUUCUGACUCCUCCUGUAGCAGGGCACGGAGAAGCUCUCGCUCAUCGCUGCCUCCUACCACUCCGAACAUGCUGCAGUCUCGUUGACCACGCUGCAGUCUUGGUGGCCACCACCAACUGCAGGGAGCCUGGCCAGGUGCCGCAAGUUGCAGCCUCCACCUCCUCCUCUAAGUCGGGCUUGGAGCAGCAGCGGGAGCAGUCACAGAAGAGGCUGGAAUGGUGGAAUGCACCCUCAGUAUGCAUUAUAUAUAGAGGUUUCGGCAAUGAGGGCCUGGACUUUGUGUUCUGAUUGGAUGGGGGAAACCUCUAGGCUUUAUCUUCAUGCCCUGAUUGGUUAUCCUAAGAGUUGCUCUCAUCCAGUCUUCUUUAUAAGUGGUCAUCUUUGUAAGUUCAUGCCCACUGGGAGUUACUGAAGUUGUGAAUGAUUACAUUUAAACUUAUCCUGUAAUUUUAGUCUGAUUUAUUAAUUCCACCUAUCUCCUUAAGCAAAUUAUUCUCUAUAGUGAUGACCCAAGCAAAUUCCUGUCCCAAGAUGGUAUCAAGAUGAUACCCAAGUUCCUCUCCAGAAUGGUAUCUGGAUAUAUGUGGAGGGAAAUAUUUUUUCUAGGCCUGUAUUAAAUAUGGCACUAAAGCUUAGUGGCUUAAAACAAUACACUGUUAUUAUCUCACAGCUUCUGUGAAUAAGUAGUUCAGGAGAGUGUAGCUGGGUGAUUCUUGCCAAGAGUCUCAUAAGGUUGCAGUCAAUCUGUUGGUGAGAAUUGUAGUUACUUGAAGACUUGGAGUUGAAGAAUUUAUAUCAAAGAUGGCUUACUUAUGGCAAUUGGAUGGAAGCCCCAGUUUCAGAAUGGCUGCUGGCAACAGGUCUUUUUACUUGCCACAUGGACCUCUCCAUAGGCUGACUGAAUGUCCUCCCAAUGUGUCAUCUGGCUUUCUCCAGUGCAAAAGAUCAAAGAAGAGAGUAUGAAGGAACCCGUAAUGCUCUUUAUAAUUUUGUCACAGACCGUCACUUCUGCCAUACUCUAUUGUUUAGAAGUUAGUCAUUAAGUCCAGCCCACACUCAAAAGAACGAGAAUUAACCUCCACCUUUGGAAGAGAGGCUAGUCAAAGCACUUGUGGACAUGUUUUGAAACCACAAAGGGGUAUGGCUGCCAGUCUCCAAGAUGGCCGCCAGUGAUUCUCAUCAGCUGUUAUUAAUACAUUUGUAUAGUCCCUUCCCACAAGAAAAAAGAGUUGAUCUGUUUAAUUAGUAUUAUUUUGUUGAAAUGACAGAGUCUGACUUGCAAGUUUAGGUCAUAAGAAGAAUUUUGACUUCUGCCUUAUUCUCUAUUGGAUCAAUAUCCCUAGGGGAAGCUAGAUGCAAUGUCAUGAAAUCAUUCAAACAGUCCCAUGGAACAAUCCAUCUAGCAAGGAACUGAUAUCUCCUAGCAAUAGCUGGCAUUAACUUACAAGUCGUAUGAGUGGGCCAUCUUAGAAUUGGAUUCUUCAGUCCAAAUCAAGUCUUCAGAUAACUGUAGCCCUGGCUGACAUCUUGAUUACAUCCUCAAGAGAGACCCUGAGCCAGAAUCACUCAGUUAAGCCACUGAGUUCUUUUUGCCAAAAACUUUUUUUUUACCAAGUUCUUUUUGCCACCAACUUUAUUGAGGUAUAAUUGACAAUUAAGAUUGUAUAUAUUUAAGGAAUACAACUUGAUGAUUUGAUAUACACAUACAUUGUGAAAUAAUCGUGAUAAUUAGGUUAACAUAUUCAUUACUUCACAUAAGUACCAUUUUCGUGUGUGUGUGUGUGUGUGUGUGUGUGUGUGUGUGUGUGUGUGGUGAGAACACAUGAGAUGUAUCCUCUUAGAAAAUUUCAAGUAUACAAUAUAUUAUUGUUAACUACAGUCAUAUUAUUGUAUACUAUGUCUCCAGAACUUAUUCACCUUGCGUAACUGAGAUGCUGUACCCUUGACCAAUGUCUCCCCCUUUUCUUCUCCCUCCAGCCCCUGGUAACUACCCUUCUACUUUCCAGUUCUAUACAUUUGACUCUUUUAGAUUCCACACAUAAGUCAAAUUUUUGACCCUUAGGAGCUGGGUGAAUAAUAAAUAUUUAUUGUUAUUUUCAGCCUUAUGAUUUUAAGUUAAUUUGUUAUGCAGUAAUAGAAGUUGCCACAUGAAGCUAUGACACUGGUUAACUCAUUUAUUCAGUAAACAUUUGCUAAGAGCAGACUAAGUGCCAGGAUCAAUUUUAUAAUUGGGGGUACAGGGUUAAGUCAAAAUGGCAGACUAGAAGCAGAUCAUGUGCACUGCUGUCAUGGAGAGGAAACAAAAUGGCUAGUGAACACUGAUCUUGCCAUGUGAUCCCCUAAGAAACCACAUCAGCAUCCAUGAAGGCAGCAAGGGGACACAGAGAGGAGAGAGGAGUGAAGCUGAGCAGCCCAUCUGUGAUCAGCAUGGAGCUAGAAGAAGCUCCCAAACAUAGGGAAAGAGUAAGUGAUUGAGAGCCCCUGGGGGAUUCACAGUCUUCACAGGGACCUGUGCAAGCCUUGGAACAGGAGAAUCUCUUUGACCCACUCCCUGCACCUCUAAGCCAAUGCAGAGAGCCACCCAGAGUUUUGUGGAGGCAACUCUCAAGUCCCUAGGGACUGCUGGAAGCCUUGGACCCUGGAACAGACCAGCACCAGUGCCAUAGCCCCAACAGAGGCUGCAGUCAUGGUACCCGAGGGCAGUAAGAUUGCUCCACCCCAAAUCACUAGACAAAGUUCAGCACCAGCCUCUGGCCCAAUGGUCCUGCUUCUGUUUUCACUUCACCAACAGGUUCAGCCUCCUGUUCCUCCAGGAAACACCCAAACAACAGGAUAGGCAACUUCACCCAAUCCCUGCCAGUUGUAGCCAGGCAGGCCAUACCUGCUAGAGCUUCCAGCCCCGUGGUACCACUUCUGUCUGAAUUCUGCUGACAAGCACAGUCUCUUGUUCUCCUAGGAAACACCUUAAUGGCAUGGUGAGUGACUCCACCCACUGCCACUGCUCAAGGCCAGCAGCCCACACCUGCUAGAGUUUCCAGCCCAACAGUCCUGCUUUUAUAUGAACUCUGCAGGUGGGGGCAACUCCAUGUUCCCCUGGGAAGCAGCUGGACAGCAGAUUAGGUGACCCCACUCAUCCCUGCAACUCCUAGCCAAGCAGUUCUUGCUGGCUUGGGUGGUGCCCAAGCAGUGGGGGAGUCCUCACUCUUGCAUCACUAAAAGAAGUGAGAUGCCCAAGUUCACAGGUCAGUGGAGGAGUGGGUUGUGCCUCCCUCUGUACAGCCAUUCCGGAAAGGAUAUGACCUGUUUGCCAACUGUGGCCCCUGCAUGAGGAAGCCCCAUGGACGAGAACACCUAAUAAAAGAAAUACAGGCAUGGAGUCAGUGAUCAGAGGGGGCUCUUCCAAGGCUUAGGGGUGGACAAGGUGAGGGGGUCAUCUCUACCCCACCCCCUAAAAAGCACUAUGCUAACUUGAGGAAAACACAAAAGAGCUGUGCAGCUGAGAAAAGCCUAUCUGCCUGUCCGCUGGCUAACACUUUUAAGUGCCACCUACUGGAUCACAGCAGAAAAUACAAUACAAAAAUAUUUUGCCAGUACACAGCACCUGUGAAAACUAAGGCAAAGAUUAAGCAACAAAUAAACAUUCUGUACAUACUCGUGACCCUCUGAAAACACCCUAAAAAGAAGCCAACUGACUGUACUCAACUUACAUCACAGUUAAAGGAACACUAACCCUUACACAUGAAAAAGAAUCGAUGCAAAAACUCUGGCAACUCAAAAAGCCAGUGUGCCCCCUUACCUACAAACAAACACACUAGUCCCCCAGAAAUGGUUCUUAGCCAGAUUGAGAUGACUGAAAUGAUGGAAAUAAAAUUCAAGAUCUGGAUGGCAAGGAAGAUCGAUGGGAUCAAAGAGAAAGUUGAAUCCAAGGAACCCAGUAAAACAAUCCAGGAGCUGAAGGAUUAAACAGCCAUUUUAAGAAAGAACCAGCUGGGUGUGAUGGCUCACGCCUGUAAUCCCAGCACUUUGGGAGGCCAAGGCGAGUGGACUACUUGAGGUUAGGAGUUUGAGACCAGCCUGGCCAACAUGAUGAAACCCUGUCUCUACUAAAAUACAAAAAUUAGCUGGGCGUGGUGGCACACAUCUGUAAUCUCAGCUACUUGGGAGGCUGAGGCAGGAGAAUCACUUGAACCCGGGAGGUGGAGGUUGCACAGGCUGGAGUGCAGUGGCACGAUCUCGGCUCACUGCAAGCUCUGCCUCCCAGGUUCCCACCAUUCUCCUGCCUCAGCCUCCCGAGUAGCUGGGACUACAGGUGCCCGCCACCACGCCCAGCAAAUUUUUUGUAUUUUUAGUAGAGACGGAGUUUCACCAUGUAAGCUAUGAUAGUCUCCAUCUCCCGACCUCGUGAUCCGCCUGCCUUGGCCUCCGAAAGUGCUGGGAUUACAGGUGUGAUGGCUCACGCCCAGCAUUUUUUUUUUUUUUUUUUGAGACAAAGUCUCGCUCUGUUGCCCAGGCUGGAGUGUAAUGGCACAAUCUCGGCUCACUGCAACCUCCCCCUCCCAGGUUCAAGCAAUUAUCCUGCCUCAGCCUCCUGAGUGGCUGGGAUUAUAGGCACCCACCACCAUGCCCAGCUAAUUGUUGUAAUUUUAGUAGAGAUGAGGUCUCACCAUCUUGGUUCGGCUGGUCUCAAACUCCUGACCUCAGGUGAUCCACCCACUUCAGCUUCCCAAAGUACUGGGAUUACAGGAGUGAGCCACCAUGCCCAGCCCCACAAAAAUUUUUAAAAAAGAAUUAAAAAGUGAAUAAAAUCUUUUGAGAAAUAUAGGACUAUGUAAAAAGACCAAACCUACAUUUCAUUGGCAUUCCCAAAAGAGAAGUAACUUGGAGAAUAUAUUUGAAGACAUAGUCCAUGAAAAAUUUCCCAAACUUGAUAGAGAGGGGAACAUACAAAUUCAAAAAAUACAGACAACCCUACAGAUACUACACAAGAUGACCAUCCCCAAGGCACAUAGUCAUCAGAUUCACCAAAGUCAAAGUAAAAGAAAGACAUCUUAAAGGCAGCUAGAGAGAAAGGUCAGGUCAUCUGUAAAGGGAACCCCAUCAGGCUAGCAGUAGACGUUGCAACAGAAACUUUACAAGACAGAGGAGAAUCAAGGUUUAUUUUCAGCAUUCUUAAAGAAAAUAAUUUCCAAGCAAGAAUAUUGUGUCCCACCAAACUAAGCUUCAUAAGUGAAGGAGAAAUAAAAUACUUUUCAGAUAAGCAAGUACUUAAAGGAGUGCUAAACAUGAAAACAAAGAACUGAAACAUGCUCCUUCAAAAACACACUCAAGGACAUAGCCUACAGAGAAUGUAAAGCCACCACACCACUAAGUCUACAAAAUAAACAGCCAACAACAUAAUGACAAGAUCAAAAUCUCAUAUAUCAAUACUAACCCAGAAUGUAAAUGGUCUAAAUGCCCGACUUAAAAGGGAUAGCAUGUCAAGUUGGACAAAAAGACAAGCCCCGAUAGUCUGCUGUCUUCAAGACACCCAUCUCUCGUGUGAAGAUACUCACACGUUCAAAGUAAAAGUAUAGAGUAGAUCUACCAAGCAAACAGAAAACAAAAAAGAGCAGGAGUCAUUAUUUUUAUAGCAGAUAAAACAGAUUUUAAACCAACAACAAUCAGGAAGGAUAAAGAAGAGCAGUACAUGAUGAUAAAAGGUUUAAUUCAACAAGAAGACCUGACCAUUCUAAACAUACACGUACCCAAUAUAGGAGCACCCAGAUUCAUAAAACAAAUUUUUCUUGACUAACAAAAAGACUUAGACAGUCACACAAUAAUAGUGGGGGACCUUAACACCCCACUGGCAGUGUUAGAUCAUCAAGGCUGAAAACUAACAAAGAAAAUCUGGGCUUAAACUCGACAUGUGACCAAUUGAACCUAAUAGAUAUCUACAGAG